GAUGAAGAACGUAGCGAAAUGCGAUAAGUAAUGUGAAUUGCAGAAUUCAGUGAAUCAUCGAAUCUUUGAACGCAUCUUGCGCUCCUUGGUAUUCCUUGGAGCAUGCCUGUUUGAGUAUCAUGAGCAAAUCUCAAAGUCAAUUCCUUUUGUUAAUUCAAUUGGUUUUGCUUUGGACUUGGAGGUCUUGCAGAUUUUCACAGUCUGCUCCUCUUAAAUGCAUUAGCUGGAUCUCAGUAAUUAUGCUUGGUUCCACUCGGCGUGAUAAGUAUCACUCGCUCAGGACACUGUUAAAAAGGUGGCCAGGAAAAUACUGAUUGAACCGCUUCUAACGGUCUAUUAAGUUAGACAAUUACCCUUAAGUUUGAUCUCUAAUCAGGUAGGACUACCCGCUGAACUUAAGCAUAUCAAUAAGCGGAGGA
rnacentral:misc_RNA from 1 species